ACCAGUGUGGUGUAGUGGCUUGAGUGUUGGACUGUGAUCCUGGAGACCAGGGUUCAAAUCCCUGCUCGGUCG